rnacentral:rRNA from 1 species
UACGUAGGGCGCGAGCGUUGUCCGGAUUUAUUGGGCGUAAAGAGCGCGUAGGCGGCUCGUUGCGUCGGCUGUGAAAACCCGCGGCUCAACUGUGGGCUUGCAGUCGAUACGGGCAGGCUGGAGUUCGGUAGGGGAGACUGGAAUUCCUGGUGUAGCGGUGAAAUGCGCAGAUAUCAGGAGGAACACCGGUGGCGAAGGCGGGUCUCUGGGCCGAUACUGACGCUGAGGAGCGAAAGCGUGGGGAGCGAACAGG